AACGAACGCUGGCGGCAUGCCUAACACAUGCAAGUCGAACGAGACCUUCGGGUCUUGUGGCGCACGGGUACGUAACGCGUGGGAACCUGCCCUUAGGUUCGGAAUAACUCCCCGAAAGGGGUGCUAAUACCGGAUAAUGUCUUAGGACCAAAGAUUUAUCGCCUUUGGAUGGGCCCGCGUUGGAUUCGCGGGUUGGUAGGGUAAAAGCAUACCAAGGCGGCGUUCCAUAGCUGGUCUGAGACGAUGAUCCGGCACACUGGCGCUGAGACACGGACCAGCCUGCUACGGGAGGCAGCAGUAGGGAAUAUUGGACGAUGGGCGAAAGCCUGAUCCAGCAGUGCGGGGUAAGUGGUGAAGGCCUUAGGGUUGUAAAGCUCUUUUACCCGGGAUGAUAGUGACAGUACCGGGAGAAUAAGCUCCGGCUAACUCCGUG
rnacentral:rRNA from 1 species